UACAGAGGGGGCAAGCGUUGUUCGGAAUUACUGGGCGUAAAGGGCGCGUAGGCGGCCUGUUAAGUCGAACGUGAAAUCCCCGGGCUCAACCCGGGAACUGCGUCCGAUACUGGCAGGCUUGAAUUCGGGAGAGGGAUGUGGAAUUCCAGGUGUAGCGGUGAAAUGCGCAGAUAUCAGGAGGAACACCGGUGGCGAAGGCGGAUCUCUGGGCCAUUACUGACGCUGAGGAGCGAAAGCGUGGGGAGCGAACAGG
rnacentral:rRNA from 1 species